GUAGGGAAUCUUCCACAAUGGACGAAAGUCUGAUGGAGCAACGCCGCGUGAGUGAAGAAGGGUUUCGGCUCGUAAAACUCUGUUGUUAAAGAAGAACAUAUCUGAGAGUAACUGUUCAGGUAUUGACGGUAUUUAACCAGAAAGCCACGGCUAACUACGUGCCAG
rnacentral:rRNA from 1 species